AAAAAAACAAAACAGUAAUUACAUCACAAGCACAGUGAGGAGGUAACUAUGCAUUCACAUGCCGGAUUAAGAGGCAGAGCAAAAGCAACAUCUUCCACAACAGAUACGGCUCUGAUGAUCUUCCAGUCCUCUCUGGCUGCGCCUGGAGGAGUCACUGCCACCUUGGUCUGCUGGGCACGACCUUCAGUGUUCACAUACGUGCCACAUUUCUCAGUGUAUGCAGCUCCGGGAAGGAUGAUAUCAGCCAUUGGUGCACUGACAUCGCCAUGGUGACCUGGGCAUUACGAAAUAGAAAACUGCAAUUAAGUAAACUUAUUGUUCCUCAACAUGUAUUCUUCAAGUCCCUAAGGGAAUGGUUACCACUAUUUUUCCAAAUGUUCCCUCAUUUGAUUGUGCAAGUCUUGAACUGCCCCUGUGUUUUUGUAAUUUGCUUCCAGUUAGACAGACUUUGUCAUUUUUAACGUGGAAUUGAGCAACAGUUCUCCAGGCCUUCUGAUUCAAGCCUCACCAGAAUGGUCUCUGUGGAAGGCUGCCUGUUAUUUUUAAGGAAGAGAAACUGGAAGAAGAGGCUGAGGUAUGCCAAAUUACACAAGAACUGCACCGAAACUAAGUGGCAACAGGUCUUAAGGAGCAAUGACUUGAAAUUUUGGUUUGAACUGCCAUCAAUAUGUAUGGAGGAGGUUAUGAGAGAGGUACAACAUUGAGUGUCUAUAGCCAUCUGUAAAACAGAUGGAGCCCAGACCUCAGCAAUAUUAAAGGAAUCUGGGAUCAGCUAGGCCGAGAACACAACAAAAGGCAGCCGACAUCCAAAAAAAGAGGUUUGAAUGUCCUUUAAGAAGCCUGGAGAACUAUUCCUGAACUAUACCUGAAGAAAUUACAAGAAAGCUUGCCUAAGAGAGCUCAGGCUGUGUGAAAGAAUAAAGUUGGUCAUACGGUUUGCCUUAAAUACUGUAUAUCCAUGCAUUUUUGCCCCCAAUUCCCAUUUUUCUAGCAACAUAUGAAAAAUAUGAGGGGUAGAUAAAGAGUGAAGGAUGUUGUAGAGACACCAUUUGGGCACUUAAGCCAUUUAAAUGUCUUUAAAUAACUGAGUUUUCUGUCACACCUGUACAUACAGAAGAUCUUUUUUUUUUUUUUAUUCAUACAUCCAUGUAUUUUCU